rnacentral:rRNA from 1 species
UACGUAGGUGGCAAGCGUUGUCCGGAUUUAUUGGGCGUAAAGCGCGCGCAGGCGGUCUUUUAAGUCUGAUGUGAAAGCCCACGGCUCAACCGUGGAGGGUCAUUGGAAACUGGGGGACUUGAGUGCAGAAGAGGAAAGUGGAAUUCCACGUGUAGCGGUGAAAUGCGUAGAGAUGUGGAGGAACACCAGUGGCGAAGGCGACUUUCUGGUCUGUAACUGACGCUGAGGCGCGAAGGCGUGGGGAGCGAACGGG